AUUGAACGCUGGCGGCAGGCCUAACACAUGCAAGUCGAGCGGAUGAGUGGAGCUUGCUCCAUGAUUCAGCGGCGGACGGGUGAGUAAUGCCUAGGAAUCUGCCUGGUAGUGGGGGACAACGUUUCGAAAGGAACGCUAAUACCGCAUACGUCCUACGGGAGAAAGCAGGGGACCUUCGGGCCGUUGCGUUAUCAGAUGAGCCUAGGUCGGAUUAGCUAGUAGGUGAGGUAAUGGCUCACCCUAGGCGACGAUCCGUAACUGGUCUGAGAGGAUGAUCAGUCACACUGGAACUGAGACACGGUCCAGACUCCUACGGGAGGCAGCAGUGGGGAAGUAUU
rnacentral:rRNA from 1 species